rnacentral:rRNA from 1 species
AGUGAACGCUGGCGGUAGGCCUAACACAUGCAAGUCGAACGGCAGCACAGUAAGAGCUUGCUCUUACGGGUGGCGAGUGGCGGACGGGUGAGGAAUACAUCGGAAUCUACUUUUUCGUGGGGGAUAACGUAGGGAAACUUACGCUAAUACCGCAUACGACCUACGGGUGAAAGCAGGGGAUCUUCGGACCUUGCGCGAUUGAAUGAGCCGAUGUCGGAUUAGCUAGUUGGCGGGGUAAAGGCCCACCAAGGCGACGAUCCGUAGCUGGUCUGAGAGGAUGAUCAGCCACACUGGAACUGAGACACGGUCCAGACGCCUACGGGAGGAAGCAGUGGGGAAUAUUGGACAAUGGGCGCAAGCCUGAUCCAGCCAUACCGCGUGGGUGAAGAAGGCCUUCGAGUUGUAAAGCCCUUUUGUUGGGAAAGAAAAGCAGCAGGUUAAUACCCCGCUGUGCCGACGGUACCCAAAGAAUAAGCACCGGCUAACUUCGUG